CUCAGAUAUUGAUUAUAUUACAUAUUCAGCAGAGUAACAAUCCAAAUAAAAUCAGAUGUUAUUUGUCACGUGUAAACUUUACAGUGAAAUGCUUGCUUACGUCCCAUUCACAACGAUGCAAAGUAAAAAAUACAAAUAGUAACACAAGGUGAAUAAAAUACACUAAGAUGGAGCUACAAUACAGGGAGUGCCAGUACCAGAUCUCUGUCCAGAGGUACAAGCUAUUUGAGGUAGAUAUGUACAUGAAGGCAGGGUAAAGUGACUAGACAUCAGGAUAGAUAAUAAUAAGGUAUUUGAGGUAGAUAUGUACAUGAAGGCAGGGUAAAGUGACUAGACAUCAGGAUAGAUAAUAAUAAGGUAUUUGAGGUAGAUAUGUACAUGAAGGCAGGGUAGAGUGACUAGACAUCAGGAUAGAUAAUAAUAAGGUAUUUGAGGUAGAUAUGUACAUGAAGGCAGGGUAAAGUGACUAGGCAUCAGGAUAGAUAGUAA
rnacentral:lncRNA from 1 species